rnacentral:rRNA from 1 species
GAGUUUGAUCCUGGCUCAGAUUGAACGCUGGCGGCAGGCUUAACACAUGCAAGUCGAGCGGAAACGAUGGUAGCUUGCUNCCAGGCGUCGAGCGGCGGACGGGUGAGUAAUACUUAGGAAUCUACCUAGUAGUGGGGGAUAGCUCGGGGAAACUCGAAUUAAUACCGCAUACGACCUACGGGAGAAAGGGGGCAGUUUACUGCUCUCGCUAUUAGAUGAGCCUAAGUCGGAUUAGCUAGAUGGUGGGGUAAAGGCCUACCAUGGCGACGAUCUGUAGCUGGUCUGAGAGGAUGAUCAGCCACACCGGGACUGAGACACGGCCCGGACUCCUACGGGAGGCAGCAGUGGGGAAUAUUGGACAAUGGGGGAAACCCUGAUCCAGCCAUGCCGCGUGUGUGAAGACAGGCCUUUUGGUUGUAAAGCACUUUAAGCAGUGAAGAAGACUCCGUGGUUAAUACCCACGGACGAUGACAUUAGCUGCAGAAUAAGCACCGGC